rnacentral:rRNA from 1 species
AAAUUGAAGAGUUUGAUCAUGGCUCAGAUUGAACGCUGGCGGCAGGCCUAACACAUGCAAGUCGAGCGGUAGCACAGAGAGCUUGCUCUCGGGUGACGAGCGGCGGACGGGUGAGUAAUGUCUGGGAAACUGCCUGAUGGAGGGGGAUAACUACUGGAAACGGUAGCUAAUACCGCAUAACGUCGCAAGACCAAAGUGGGGGACCUUCGGGCCUCAUGCCAUCAGAUGUGCCCAGAUGGGAUUAGCUAGUAGGUGGGGUAACGGCUCACCUAGGCGACGAUCCCUAGCUGGUCUGAGAGGAUGACCAGCCACACUGGAACUGAGACACGGUCCAGACUCCUACGGGAGGCAGCAGUGGGGAAUAUUGCACAAUGGGCGCAAGCCUGAUGCAGCCAUGCCGCGUGUGUGAAGAAGGCCUUCGGGUUGUAAAGCACUUUCAGCGGGGAGGAAGGCGAUAAGGUUAAUAACCUUGUCGAUUGACGUUACCCGCAGAAGAAGCACCGGCUAACUCCGUGCCAGCAGCCGCGGUAAUACGGAGGGUGCAAGCGUUAAUCGGAAUUACUGGGCGUAAAGCGCACGCAGGCGGUCUGUCAAGUCGGAUGUGAAAUCCCCGGGCUUAACCUGGGAACUGCAUUCGAAACUGGCAGGCUAGAGUCUUGUAGAGGGGGGUAGAAUUCCAGGUGUAGCGGUGAAAUGCGUAGAGAUCUGGAGGAAUACCGGUGGCGAAGGCGGCCCCCUGGACAAAGACUGACGCUCAGGUGCGAAAGCGUGGGGAGCAAACAGGAUUAGAUACCCUGGUAGUCCACGCCGUAAACGAUGUCGAUUUGGAGGUUGUGCCCUUGAGGCGUGGCUUCCGGAGCUAACGCGUUAAAUCGACCGCCUGGGGAGUACGGCCGCAAGGUUAAAACUCAAAUGAAUUGACGGGGGCCCGCACAAGCGGUGGAGCAUGUGGUUUAAUUCGAUGCAACGCGAAGAACCUUACGUGGUCUUGACAUCCACAGAACUUUCCAGAGAUGGAUUGGUGCCUCCGGUAACUGUGAGACAGGUACUGCAUGGCUGUCGUCAGCUCGUGUUGUGAAAUGUUGGGUUAAGUCCCGCAACGAGCGCAACCCUUAUCCUUUGUUGCCAGCGGUCCGGCCGGGAACUCAAAGGAGACUGCCAGUGAUAAACUGGAGGAAGGUGGGGAUGACGUCAAGUCAUCAUGGCCCUUACGACCAGGGCUACACACGUGCUACAAUGGCAUAUACAAAGAGAAGCGACCUCGCGAGAGCAAGCGGACCUCAUAAAGUAUGUCGUAGUCCGGAUUGGAGUCUGCAACUCGACUCCAUGAAGUCGGAAUCGCUAGUAAUCGUAGAUCAGAAUGCUACGGUGAAUACGUUCCCGGGCCUUGUACACACCGCCCGUCACACCAUGGGAGUGGGUUGCAAAAGAAGUAGGUAGCUUAACCUUCGGGAGGGCGCUUACCACUUUGUGAUUCAUGACUGGGGUGAAGUCGUAACAAGGUAACCGUAGGGGAACCUGCGGUUGGAUCACCUCCUUACCUUAAAGAA